rnacentral:rRNA from 1 species
GAUGAACGCUGGCGGCGUGCCUAAUACAUGCAAGUCGAGCGAACGGACGAGAAGCUUGCUUCUCUGAUGUUAGCGGCGGACGGGUGAGUAACACGUGGAUAACCUACCUAUAAGACUGGGAUAACUUCGGGAAACCGGAGCUAAUACCGGAUAAUAUUUUGAACCGCAUGGUUCAAAAGUGAAAGACGGUCUUGCUGUCACUUAUAGAUGGAUCCGCGCUGCAUUAGCUAGUUGGUAAGGUAACGGCUUACCAAGGCAACGAUGCAUAGCCGACCUGAGAGGGUGAUCGGCCACACUGGAACUGAGACACGGUCCAGACUCCUACGGGAGGCAGCAGUAGGGAAUCUUCCGCAAUGGGCGAAAGCCUGACGGAGCAACGCCGCGUGAGUGAUGAAGGUCUUCGGAUCGUAAAACUCUGUUAUUAGGGAAGAACAUAUGUGUAAGUAACUGUGCACAUCUUGACGGUACCUAAUCAGAAAGCCACGGCUAACUACGUGCCAGCAGCCGCGGUAAUACGUAGGUGGCAAGCGUUAUCCGGAAUUAUUGGGCGUAAAGCGCGCGUAGGCGGUUUUUUAAGUCUGAUGUGAAAGCCCACGGCUCAACCGUGGAGGGUCAUUGGAAACUGGAAAACUUGAGUGCAGAAGAGGAAAGUGGAAUUCCAUGUGUAGCGGUGAAAUGCGCAGAGAUAUGGAGGAACACCAGUGGCGAAGGCGACUUUCUGGUCUGUAACUGACGCUGAUGUGCGAAAGCGUGGGGAUCAAACAGGAUUAGAUACCCUGGUAGUCCACGCCGUAAACGAUGAGUGCUAAGUGUUAGGGGGGUUCCGCCCCUUAGUGCUGCAGCUAACGCAUUAAGCACUCCGCCUGGGGAGUACGACCGCAAGGUUGAAACUCAAAGGAAUUGACGGGGACCCGCGCAAGCGGUGGAGCAUGUGGUUUAAUUCGAAGCAACGCGAAGAACCUUACCAAAUCUUGACAUCCUUUGACAACUCUAGAGAUAGAGCUUUCCCCUUCGGGGGACAAAAUGACAGGUGGUGCAUGGUUGUCGUCAGCUCGUGUCGUGAGAUGUUGGGUUAAGUCCCGCAACGAGCGCAACCCUUAAGCUUAGUUGCCAUCAUUAAGUUGGGCACUCUAAGUUGACUGCCGGUGACAAACCGGAGGAAGGUGGGGAUGACGUCAAAUCAUCAUGCCCCUUAUGAUUUGGGCUACACACGUGCUACAAUGGACAAUACAAAGGGCAGCGAAACCGCGAGGUCAAGCAAAUCCCAUAAAGUUGUUCUCAGUUCGGAUUGUAGUCUGCAACUCGACUACAUGAAACUGGAAUCGCUAGUAAUCGUAGAUCAGCAUGCUACGGUGAAUACGUUCCCGGGUCU